AAGAUAUAACCUGUUUCCUAAAGUUGUGAUGACAUUUAAAGGUGAGAAAGUUUGUAGCUAUUAUUGUGAUUAUGGUUACUAUAAAUUCUUAGAAAACACAGGGGGAUUUUCCAAUUAACACUAACUAAUUUAUGGGACACUCAUUGAUGUUAUAUGUUUAUUAAUUUAUUGUUCAAUGUUCAUGCUUAAAAAUUUCUUAAUUUUUCCUC
ensembl:misc_RNA